rnacentral:rRNA from 1 species
UACGUAGGGUGCGAGCAUUAAUCGGAUUUAUUGGGCGUAAAGGGCGCGUAGGCGGGGAUGUAAGUCAGAUGUGAAAUCCCGGGGCUCAACCUCGGAACAGCAUUUGAAACUACAUUUCUAGAGGGUAGGCGGAGAAAACGGAAUUCCACAAGUAGCGGUGAAAUGCGUAGAUAUGUGGAAGAACACCGGUGGCGAAGGCGGUUUUCUAGCUUAUACCUGACGCUAAAGCGCGAAAGCAAGGGGAGCAAACAGG